rnacentral:rRNA from 1 species
UAGGGAAUCUUGCGCAAUGGGCGAAAGCCUGACGCAGCAACGCCGCGUGCGGGAUGAAGGCCUUCGGGUUGUAAACCGCUUUCAGUGGGGACGAAAACAGACGGUACCCACAGAAGAAGCCCCGGCCAACUACGUGCCAGCAGCCGCGGUAACACGUAGGGGGCAAGCGUUGUCCGGAUUUAUUGGGCGUAAAGAGCUCGUAGGCGGCUCAGUAAGUCAGGUGUGAAAACUCCAGGCUCAACCUGGAGACGCCACCUGAUACUGCUGUGGCUAGAGUCCGGUAGGGGAGCAUGGAAUUCCUGGUGUAGCGGUGAAAUGCGCAGAUAUCAGGAGGAACACCAGUGGCGAAGGCGGUGCUCUGGGCCGGUACUGACGCUGAGGAGCGAAAGCGUGGGGAGCAAACAGGAUUAGAUACCCCAGUAGUCCCUGAGCGGGCUGGCAAGGCGCAU